AACCAAUUAACUGUGUUUUACCACAAAAUAACCAACUAAUAAUAAUCAAUACACCAAAAAAACAUGGUUACUAAACUUUUACCACAAAAAAAAAACAUUCAUUUUCGAAAGGGGAAUAUGAGUGUUUGUUUUUUUGUAGUUUUUGAGUCAAUUGCAUACCGCUUUUAGCUGUACACAUUAAUUAACUUAAACAGUUUUCGUAAAUGCAUUUAAGAGAAAAGUGAAUUCUGAUAUUUGAAUAAUGCAUCUGACGUGUGUGAUGACGUCACGACGCACGUAUUUUGAUUUUUACCAGUCGUCCAAGACAGACGGAUUCAGUCCCAAGAAGCUAAAGUUUUUCAAAGACAUUUGUAGGGAGGACUUUGCAGCUAAUGAUUUCCUUAGGCUGAACCAAAACCUGCCAGACUAAAGUUGAUUUGGGAGAGAAAGACGUUCAAUCAUCUUGACAUUCUUCAAUGAGUAAUUUUAGGCAAAUACUGUACUCUUUGAAUGCUGUGAAUAAAACUAUAUUUUAAAUAUAUUUAAAAUGAAUUGUUUUUGACUGUUUUAAUCAGCUUUUAUUUAUUUGGAAAAAAUUAUUUUGGUUAUGUUACCAGCUAAAGUAAUCUAUUCCCAAAAUAGCACUCUAAGUUAACUAAUUAUUAACGCACUUGGGGGCAGUUUCCCGGACAGGGAUUAGCUUAAGCCAGGACUAGAUCUGAGUUUAAUUAGGAAAUAUAACUAGUUUUAACAAACUUACCUUACUAAAAACAUUACUUGCAUGCAUUUUGAGGCAAAACAAAGGGCACUGAUGUAUUUUAAGAUAUGUCAGUGCAAGUUGUUUUCAGUUUGGACACCUCUUACAUUUAUUUUAGUCUAGAACUAGUCUAAUCCCUGUCCGCGAAACUGCCCCUUGAAGUAUACUCAUUACUAAUCUAGCUGCAGGUAUGUAAAAGUAUACAAAAUGUAAUGUACUUGGCAUAUUCAUUUUUCACCAGGGCAGUUUUUGGAAUUUUGGAUUGGCCAAAAAUAUAUAGAAUGUAUGCAAACAGUCUAUUUAAGGUAUACUGAUUGUAUGUUUGCAAGACACUCAUAAUACAUUUGUAAUGUACUCCUAACAUAAAUAAAACACACUCUAAAUCCACUUAUCAAGCAUGAAUUUAGCACAAAAACUGUCAUGUACUUAAAUUGUACUAAAUACACUUAAAGUUGUUCCACUUUAGCACACAAAAGUACACUAAAUACACUUAAAGUUGUACUUUGUUACAAUUAAUACACAACUAAAAUAUAUUAAGUACAAAAUUAGUUGUUCCAAAAUAGCACUCUUUAAAUAAACUAAUCAAUAGCACACUUUAAGUAUACUGGUCAUUAGUGUGACUGCAAGUAUACUUAAGUAUAUCAAAAUUAAAUAUAUUUAGCAUACUAUUUUUUCA